rnacentral:sRNA from 1 species
CCUGAAAUAGGUAUGAUACCCUAUGCGUUCCUUGC